rnacentral:rRNA from 1 species
UUAUGGCUCAGGACGAACGCUGGCGGCGUGCCUAAUACAUGCAAGUCGAACGGUCUUUCUAUGGAAGCUUGCUUCCACUGAGAAGAUAGUGGCGAACGGGUGAGUAACACGUGGGUAACCUGCCCAUAAGAGGGGGAUAACAUCCGGAAACGGGUGCUAAUACCGCAUAGUUUUCUUGAUCGCAUGAUCGGGAAAGGAAAGACGGCCUUUGUGCUGUCGCUUAUGGAUGGACCCGCGGCGUAUUAGUUAGUUGGUGAGGUAACGGCUCACCAAGACGAUGAUACGUAGCCGACCUGAGAGGGUGAUCGGCCACAUUGGGACUGAGACACGGCCCAAACUCCUACGGGAGGCAGCAGUAGGGAAUCUUCCGCAAUGGACGAAAGUCUGACGGAGCAACGCCGCGUGAGUGAAGAAAGGUUUUCGGAUCGUAAAACUCUGUUGUCAGAGAAGAACAAGUUGGAGAGUAACUGCUCCAGCCUUGACGGUAUCUGACCAGAAAGCCACGGCUAACUACGUGCCAGCAGCGGC